GACGAACGCUGGCGGCGUGCUUAACACAUGCAAGUCGAACGAUGAAGCCGGAGCUUGCUCUGGUGAAUUAGUGGCGAACGGGUGAGUAACACGUGAGUAACCUGCCCUUGACUCUGGGAUAACUGCGGGAAACUGUAGCUAAUACCGGAUACGACCCUCGGAGGCAUCUCCUGGGGGUGGAAAGAAUUUCGGUCAAGGAUGGACUCGCGGCCUAUCAGCUAGUUGGUGAGGUAAAGGCUGACCAAGGCGACGACGGGUAGCCGGCCUGAGAGGGUGACCGGCCACACGGGGACUGAGACACGGCCCAGACUCCUACGGGAGGCAGCAGUGGGGAAUAUUGCACAAUGGGCGCAAGCCUGAUGCAGCAACGCCGCGUGAGGGAUGACGGCCUUCGGGUUGUAAACCUCUUUUAGCAGGGAGGAAGCGAAAGUGACGGUACCUGCAGAAAAAGCACCGGCUAACUACGUGCCAGCCGCCGCAGUAA
rnacentral:rRNA from 1 species